rnacentral:rRNA from 1 species
UUCCGGUUGAUCCUGCCAGAGGUUACUGCUAUCGGGGUCCGACUAAGCCAUGCGAGUCGAGAGGGUAAAGCCCUCGGCGUAAUGCUCAGUAACACGCGGAUAACCUGCCCUUGGGUCCGGGAUAACCCCGGGAAACUGGGACUAAUACCGGAUAGAUCAAAGACACUGGAAUGUUCUCUGGUCCAAAACUCCGGUGCCCAAGGAUGGGUCUGCGGCCUAUCAGGUUGUAGUGGGUAUAACGUACCUACUAGCCGACGACGGGUAAGGGUUGUGAGAGCAAGAUCCCUGAGAUGGAUUCUGAGACAUGAAUCCAGGCCCUACGGGGUGCAGCAGGCGCGAAACCUUUACACUGCGGGAAACCGCGAUAAGGGGACCCCGAGUGCCAGCACCUAGUGCUGGCUGUCCAGCUGUCCAAAUAACAGUUGUUAGCAAGGGCCGGGCAAGACCGGUGCCAGCCGCCGCGGUAACACCGGCGGCCCGAGUGGUAGCCGCUAUUAUUGGGUUUAAAGGGCCCGUAGCCGGCCUAUUAAGUCUCUUGGGAAAUCUGGCGGCUUAAUCGUCAGGCGUCCAAGAGAUACUGGUAGGCUUGGGACCGGGAGAGGUGGGAGGUACUCCAGGGGUAGGGGUGAAAUCUCGUAAUCCUUGGGGGACCACCGAUGGCGAAGGCAUCCCACCAGAACGGGUCCGACGGUGAGGGACGAAAGCUGGGGGCACGAACCGGAUUAGAUACCCGGGUAGUCCCAGCUGUAAACGAUACUCGCUAGGUGUCAGGUGCGGUGCGACCGCAUCUGGUGCCGCAGUGAAAACUUGAAGCGAGUCACCUGGGAAGUACGGUCGCAAGGCUGAAACUUAAAGGAAUUGGCGGGGGAGCACUACAACGGGUGGAGCCUGCGGUUCAAUUGGAUUCAACGCCGGG